rnacentral:rRNA from 1 species
GAUGAACGCUAGCGGCAGGCUUAAUACAUGCAAGUCGAGGGGCAUCAAGGUACACGAAAGUGUAUUGUUGGCGACCGGCGGACGGGUGAGUAAUAGGUAGGUAACCUACCUCAUACUGAGGCAUAGCUGGGAGAAAUUCCAGGUAAUUCCUCAUGAGGUUAUAUGACACAUGUGAUAUAAUCAAAGGUAUCGCAAGGUACUGGUAUGAGAUGGGCUUACUGACCAUUAGCUAGUUGGUGAGAUAAGAGCUCACCAAGGCGAAGAUGGUUAGGGGUUUUGAGAGAGAGAUCCCCCACAUUGGAACUGAGAUACGGUCCAGACUCCUACGGGAGGCAGCAGUAGGGAAUAGUUGGGCAAGUGGGCGGAAGCCUGACCCAGCCAUGCCGCGUGAAGGAAGACGGCCUUAGUGGGUUGUAAACUUCUUUACUAUGCGACUAACUAGAUUUACGAGAUAAUUCUAUAGAAUGUAGCAUAGACAAAAAGCACCGGA